GAACGGCUCAGUAAGACAGACGGAUCCCACCACGAAGCAGGAUAACCUCGGGAAACUGAGGCUAAUACAGGAGUGGGUGAACGUCUGGCCUAUCAGCUAGAUGGUACGGUAAUUGCGUACCAUGGCGAUAACGGGUAACGGGGAAUCGGGGUUUGAUUCCGGAGAGGGAGCCUGAGAAAUGGCUGCCACGUCCAAGGACGGCAGCAGGCGCGAAACUUACCCACUUGGAGGACCAGAGGUAGUGACGAGGCGUGACGAUGAGUCUACAGUAAAGAAGUAGACGAAAGCAACUGGAGGGCAAGUCUGGUGCCAGC
rnacentral:rRNA from 1 species